UCGUCACGGGAAGGCAGAGCA
rnacentral:misc_RNA from 1 species